GCUGCGCUCACAGCGCAAAAAUAUGAAUAUGAUAUCUUGCGCCCAAUCGAAAAAAUUAUUUUAGGAAACUUAGUGAGAGAGCCUUCAUAGAUGGAUCCUAGUCUACGUUAACACAAGAAGAGACAAUCAGCUCUGCUAUUAAUGGACAAAACACGGAAACUUAGUCUGCUUGAUGGUACUCUUCCAAAAAUGCCUUUCGUUUAGAUUCUGUUUCAAAAAUAGGACUCCAAAGGGAUCUGACUGAACUUGUUGGGGUCAAAAUUCAGCAAGGAUACUACACCAAACGCAACAACAGCAUCGAACUUCAUCAUGCUACGUAGAUGUACAGCGAUAGGUAAACACUGAAGUGAUUACAUCGACUUAAAUAGGGCAAGCGAUACAGCAGACCAAAUGUCGCAAUCUCGGUACGAUUACUGGUGACUUUACAUCCUGAGGCAAACGAUUUAAAGUUUCUUUCUUAGAUCAUUAAGACAAUGAAAAAACAUCUUUCAUGGCAACAGAUUCUUCAAUUAUACAAAACGAAACGUAAAUGAUUAUUUGUUUGAUAGAAGCAACAGGGUAUAUUUAGCAAGCCGAAUAUGUUUCUGUUCAAGGCUCUAUUUUAUCUUAGUUCGAGUUAACAUUUCUUCAAUUUAAACGUUAUAUGCACCUCUCUAAAGAGGUUUCCCAACUAUGUUAAGAAUGAGUCUUCAACCAAAAAACCUCUUUCGUUUUUCGAAGUGAACGAAAGUGUCUCAAGAGCCAUUCGAUGCUUUUCGCCCCCUCUUACAAAGUCGGAAAACUCAUUUGAAUUACAAAUGAUUUUCAAAUAUUGAUAUUAAUUUCUACGAGCAGUCUUGCACGUGGAAAGAGGCAAGAACUACAAGAAAUUUCAGCGUCUUUUUCAGCUUCUCUGGGGCCACGAAACACAUCAUUUCGACGUUGUAACCUUACAUAUGGUCCGCUCUGUUAAGUUUGGCGUGUGUUUCUUGACGUUGCUGACCUAGGUGGUUCAAAUUCGACGUCGAGGAUUCAUGGAAGUCAUUUUGUCACGAUUCUUCUUGAGAAAGCGUCAAACAUGGAAUUAAAGAGCUUCUGGAGAUCAGGCAAUUCAAGCCAAGAUUAAAAAAGGAUAACUUCUAACAAGUACUAGUCCGUCUUGUGUAUACUUCUGGUUCUUCAAGUGUGAAUCAAACAAGAAAGACUUUUACUCCAUCGAAGAUAGAAGAUUCAAUCCGAGGAAACAAUACAAGCAUAAUACAUUUUUCUCAAGAAUGCGGCGAGUCAACGCUUACAACUAGCUGGACUUGAAGACAAAUGUAA